AUGUCUACUAAGAAGCAUCGAGCCAUGGGGUCUGAGGAGUGGGUGAGCCGCCUGAGGGCAUUUGCCUCUUCUGGCACUUGGCCCUCCAGUGCAGGGAACAGGCCAUCUCCGAAACAGGCCAAGUGGCCCAACCUCUACCAGAAGAUUGAGUAGUGUCCCACGAUGCUGCGUGGGCAAACCUCUAUCUUAAGGGUAGCGCAGACAUGUACCUGUGGCUUUCACCCCCAGCAGCCCUGCAGCUACCUCUGCCUCCACCUCUGCUGCGCCUGCACGGAGCCCUGGGAGGCAUGCAUUGACGCUGGCGAUGUUUGAGAAAUCGCGGUUCGGUGGGACUUUGUCUGCUGCAGCCAAGCCGAAUGUCAAUCUGACUAGGAGGCCUGUUGAGCGUCCCUCCAGCCCUGCCACUGUCCCGUCUGGGAGAAGCACUCCAUCCGCUACCCCACCUCGAGUGACGCCCCCUUCCAGUCCCAGCUUCUACAGGCCUGUCUCCCCUUUCUCUCUGCCUCCAUCCAGCCCUGUCAUGUCGGCGGUUGUAUCAGAUAUGAGUCCUGCUCCUCCAGGUCUCCUCCUGCUCCUCCUGGUCCCCUCCCUGCUCCUCCUGGUCCCCUCCCUGCUCCUCCUGGUCCCCUCCCUGCUCCUCCUGGUCCCCUCCCGCUCCUCCUCUUGCUGCUCCAGAUCAGUUCUGGCUGCCGGUGGAAAUGAGGAAGACCAUUCCCCAGCAGGACCAGCGCUGGAUUGCGUCCGAGCUGUGGAGGAACCAGCGGCUGCGCCCGGACGUCCAGCUCUGGUAUGAGCCACCAGUUCCUGCCUCAUCUACAACAAGGUCCCGUCACCAGACCGCUUUUUAUGCACCCUGCCCCUCCUCCGAGUCCCUGACCAAGGAGCAGUGGUUGGCGGAGAGGAGGAACAAAGAUCACCCGUGUUAAAUCUA
rnacentral:lncRNA from 1 species